UUGGUUAAGUUAGAAAGGGCGCACGGUGGAUGCCUUGGCACUAGGAGCCGAAGAAGGACGGGACUAACACCGAUAUGCUUUGGGGAGCUGUACGUAAGCGUUGAUCCAGAGAUUUCCGAAUGGGGGAACCCACUAUCUUUAGUCGGAUAGUAUCCUUACGUGAAUACAUAGCGUGAGGAAGGCAGACCCAGGGAACUGAAACAUCUAAGUACCUGGAGGAAGAGAAAGAAAAAUCGAUUUCCUGAGUAGCGGCGAGCGAAACGGAAAGAGCCCAAACCAAGAAGCUUGCUUCUUGGGGUUGUAGGACACUCUAUACGGAGUUACAAAAGAAAGUUAUAAAUGAAGCGGUCUGGAAAGGCCCGCCAAAGACGGUAACAGCCCGGUAGUUGAAAUNGGGAGGACCAUCUCCCAAGGCUAAAUACUCCCUAGUGACCGAUAGUGAACCAGUACCGUGAGGGAAAGGUGAAAAGCACCCCGGAAGGGGAGUGAAACAGUUCCUGAAACCGUGUGCCUACAAGUAGUUAGAGCCCGUUAAUGGGUGAUAGCGUGCCUUUUGUAGAAUGAACCGGCGAGUUACGAUUUGUUGCAAGGUUAAGCGGAAAAAGCGGAGCCGUAGCGAAAGCGAGUCUGAAUAGGGCGCAUAAGUAACAGGUCGUAGACCCGAAACCAGGUGAUCUACCCAUGUCCAGGAUGAAGGUAAGGUAAUACUUACUGGAGGUCCGAACCCACGCACGUUGAAAAGUGCGGGGAUGAGGUGUGGGUAGCGGAGAAAUUCCAAUCGAACUUGGAGAUAGCUGGUUCUCUCCGAAAUAGCUUUAGGGCUAGCCUCGAGGUAAAGAGUCAUGGAGGUAGAGCACUGUUUGGACUAGGGGCCCUUCUCGGGUUACCGAAUUCAGAUAAACUCCGAAUGCCAUGUACUUAUACUCGGGAGUCAGACUGCGAGUGAUAAGAUCCGUAGUCGAAAGGGAAACAGCCCAGACCACCAGUUAAGGUCCCCAAAUAUAUGUUAAGUGGAAAAGGAUGUGGGGUUGCUUAGACAACCAGGAUGUUGGCUUAGAAGCAGCCACCAUUGAAAGAGUGCGUAAUAGCUCACUGGUCGAGUGACCCCGCGCCGAAAAUGUACCGGGGCUAAACAUAUUACCGAAACUGUGGAUGAACCUCUUUAGAGGUUCGUGGUAGGAGAGCGUUCUAAGGGCGGUGAAGUCAGACCGGAAGGACUGGUGGAGCGCUUAGAAGUGAGAAUGCCGGUAUGAGUAGCGAAAGAAGGGUGAGAAUCCCUUCCACCGAAUAUCUAAGGUUUCCUGAGGAAGGCUCGUCCGCUCAGGGUUAGUCGGGACCUAAGCUGAGGCCGAUAGGCGUAGGCGAUGGACAACAGGUAGAGAUUCCUGUACCAGUGCUAAUUGUUUAACCGAUGGGGUGACACAGAAGGAUAGGGAAUCGCACGAAUGGAAAUGUGCGUCCAAGCAGUGAGUGUGAGAAGUAGGCAAAUCCGCUUCUCGCGAAGCAUGAGCUGUGAUGGGGAAGGAAAUUAAGUACGGAAGUUCCUGAUUUCACGCUGUCAAGAAAAGCCUCUAGGAAGAGUAGUACUGCCCGUACCGCAAACCGACACAGGUAGAUGAGGAGAGAAUCCUAAGGUGAGCGAGAGAACUCUCGUUAAGGAACUCGGCAAAAUGACCCCGUAACUUCGGGAGAAGGGGUGCUCUAUUAGGGUGCAAGCCCGAGAGAGCCGCAGUGAAUAGGCCCAGGCGACUGUUUAGCAAAAACACAGGUCUCUGCAAAACCGUAAGGUGACGUAUAGGGGCUGACGCCUGCCCGGUGCUGGAAGGUUAAGAGGAGUGCUUAGCUUCGGCGAAGGUACGAAUUGAAGCCCCAGUAAACGGCGGCCGUAACUAUAACGGUCCUAAGGUAGCGAAAUUCCUUGUCGGGUAAGUUCCGACCCGCACGAAAGGCGCAACGAUCUGGGCACUGUCUCAACGAGAGACUCGGUGAAAUUAUAGUACCUGUGAAGAUGCAGGUUACCCGCGACAGGACGGAAAGACCCCGUGGAGCUUUACUGCAACCUGAUAUGGAAUGUUUGUACCGCUUGUACAGGAUAGGUAGGAGCCGAAGAGACGUGUGCGCUAGCAUACGAGGAGGCAAUGGUGGGAUACUCCCCUGGCUGUAUGACCAUUCUAACCCGCCACGCUUAGCGCGUGGGGAGACAGUGUCAGGUGGGCAGUUUGACUGGGGCGGUCGCCUCCUAAAGAGUAACGGAGGCGCCCAAAGGNUCCCUCAGAAUGGAUGGAAAUCAUUCGCAGAGUGUAAAGGCACAAGGGAGCUUGACUGCGAGACUGACAAGUCGAGCAGGGACGAAAGUCGGGCUUAGUGAUCCGGUGGUUCCGCAUGGAAGGGCCAUCGCUCAACGGAUAAAAGCUACCCCGGGGAUAACAGGCUUAUCUCCCCCAAGAGUCCACAUCGACGGGGAGGUUUGGCACCUCGAUGUCGGCUCGUCGCAUCCUGGGGCUGUAGUCGGUCCCAAGGGUUGGGCUGUUCGCCCAUUAAAGCGGCACGCGAGCUGGGUUCAGAACGUCGUGAGACAGUUCGGUCCCUAUCCGUCGCGGGCGCAGGAAAUUUGAGAGGAGCUGUCCUUAGUACGAGAGGACCGGGAUGGACACACCGCUGGUGUACCAGUUGUUCCGCCAGGAGCAUCGCUGGGUAGCUAUGUGUGGCAGGGAUAAACGCUGAAAGCAUCUAAGCGUGAAGCCCCCCUCAAGAUGAGAUUUCCCAUUUCUUCGGAAAGUAAGAUCCCUGAAAGAUGAUCAGGUAGAUAGGUUUGGAGUGGAAGUGUAGCGAUACAUGGAGCGGACAAAUACUAAUCGAUCGAGGACUUAACCAAAA
rnacentral:rRNA from 1 species